CCCGUAGAUGUUCUGGGCCGCACGCGCGCUACACUGAUGCAUUCAACGAGUCUAAAACCUGCUCUGAUAGGGGUGGGUAAUCUUUUGAAUGUGCAUCGUGAUUGGGAUAGAUGAUUGCAAUUUUUCAUCUUCAACGAGGAAUGCCUAGUAAACGCAAGUCAUCAGCUUGCAUUGAUUACGUCCCUGCCCUUUGUACACACCGCCCGUCGCUCCUACCGAUUGAAUGAUCCGAUGAAUAUCAUGGAUUGAGGAUGCAAGCAGGUUCGCCUGUCUUCAUCUUCGAGAAGUGAAGUAAAUCUUAUCAUUUAGAGGAAGGAGAAGUCGUAACA
rnacentral:rRNA from 1 species